CCCCCGAGCCCCUACAGCCCUGCGCCUCCCUUCCUGCCUUCGCCCCCUCCGGCCUGGAGACAGCGGCUCCUGUGCCCUCCGCCGCCCCUGCAGUGGCCAGCGAGCCCCCCAGUUCCAGCAGGGCAGGGGGGACACUCCUGGGCCCCUAGACACAACCCUGGGCAGCCAGCCUGAUGCCUGGGUAGUCGGGGCGGGGCCCAUAGGCCCAGGAAGGAGGCAGCACGGGGCCCCUCCCCAGCGCGGCCCUCCUGCGUGAUUGAAACCGCACGGAAAAGGCAGAAGACGUUCAGCCCAGUUUGGUGGGAGCUGAGUUCAAAGCCCUCGGUGGCCAGUCGGGUGGGGUGGGGGAUGCCGGGACGAGGAGGACAGGACUGGCUCUUCGCGCGUGCCCUCGCCGAGGCUCCGAGCCACAAAGGAGAGCGAAAAUCAAAGUACACGCCUAAGCCGGUGCUUAAUGUAUUCAUCGCAGAGAGCCUGGCCCCAUUGUUUGUGCGGCCCUGGCUUCCAGAAAACGGCCCUGUUCAGAGGUCCGUCGCGGUGCUGAGAGACUGCUUUGCUCCCCGCAAAAAUAAUGUUUUUCUUCAGUAAAACGGAGAGCAAGGGUCCUGCGAUUAAAUCUGAAAGCAAAGAGUUUUAAUGCCCACCAUAUGUUACAAAGUACACGGCGAGGACAUUAAAAAAAAAAAAAAAAAGCAAAAGAGGGAAAGAAAGAAAAAGAAAA